GACGAACGCUGGCGGCGUGCUUAACACAUGCAAGUCGAGCGGUAAGGCCCUUUCGGGGGUACACGAGCGGCGAACGGGUGAGUAACACGUGGGUGACCUGCCCUUAGCUCUGGGAUAAGCCUGGGAAACUGGGUCUAAUACCGGAUAUGACUCCAUGACGCAUGUUGUGGGGUGGAAAGCCUUGUGCGGCUAGGGAUGGGCCCGCGGCCUAUCAGCUUGUUGGUGGGGUGAUGGCCACCAAGGCGACGACGGGUAGCCGGCCUGAGAGGGCGACCGGCCACACUGGGACUGAGACACGGCCCAGAUUCCUACGGGAGGCAGCAGUGGGGAAUCUUGCGCAAUGGGCGAAAGCCUGACGCAGCGACGCCGCGUGAGGGAUGACGGCCUCGG
rnacentral:rRNA from 1 species